UACGUAGGCGGAAAAUUAAGUCAGUGGUGAAAUCCUGCAGCUUAACUGUAGAACUGUCAUUGAUACUGGUUUUCUUGAAUAUAGUUGAGGUAGGCGGAAUGUGUAAUGUAGCGGUGAUAUGCUUAGAUAUUACACAGAACACCGAUUGCGAAGGCAGCUUACUAAGCUAUGAUUGACGCUGAGGUACGAAAGCGUGGGGAGCGAACAGGAUUAGAUACCCUGGUAGUCC
rnacentral:rRNA from 1 species